GGUGGAGCUGGAAAGGUGGAGGCGGAAGUGACUGAUCAAUUCAGGGGCGUGGGGUUCGUUUAGGUUUUGCCCUGUGUAUGACCUCGUUUGGAGCCAUGAAACCAGGGCACUGAAGAUAUUAUUUAUAUUCAGAGGCUAUGUUGGUUUGGAGAAGGAAAGGUCACCAUGUGUGAUGACUACAUCCAAAGAGAAUGAGCAAAGCAGACCUUGGUGGCCAGAGGGGAGCCCUCAGGUAGAGCUGCAGAUGCUGGCAGUUUGUGUUAGAAGGUUCCGGGGCUAAACAGAUGCCUAGAAUUAGCCACCAAAAGGUAAAUUGUAGACUCCACUCUUCAAGAAGCAGCAGAAGGAUUAGGAAUUCAAACAGUGCUAUUUUACGGUCAUAAGAACAGACAGUAUUUUUUUGGCGCAGCAAGAACUUCUUAGGCCAUAAAGCAUGACAGACCUCUUUUCCUUAUGCGCUGAAUUGAAGAAGUGCUGACUCUUUUGCUGAUGGAAGCUCUUCCACGAGUUCACGAAUGGAAAUAACAUCAAGAGUUUUUCAUCUUCUUAGUGUGCAAGAACACAGCAUAGUAUGUGACAUAAAGGCUUGAUGACUGUGUUGAAUGAAUGUAUGUUAUGUCUGAGGAAUAGUCUUAGUGGAUUAUCCCAAACUUGACACAUUUUUUGCAAAAUGCUAUACAAAAAGAAGAUACAUGCGAUUAUGACAAGAUUCUCCACUUGGUGUGACCAGUCUCAUACAACCCAAGGCUGUGUGUCCAAAGGCAACUGUACUGAAUACCGGAAAGCAUGUAUUUGUUUGCUAAAUUGCUCUCUUUCCACCAGUGAUAUCAAUUCUGAAAUACUUUUGAGAUCUUGACAAUAAUCAAAAGGUAGCCAGGUGCAUCGG
ensembl:lncRNA ZRANB2-DT ZRANB2 divergent transcript